AAUUUUUUUCUUUUGGUUGAGUUUCGCCGAAAAGCCGAAUGAGUCUCUGCUUACUAUGUUCUUCAAACGGGGAGACGCUGGGAACUAAAACACCGCCCAGACAAGUAAAGUGUUGCCUCGCGUCGCUUAAACUUCUCUCUCCCUCUCCGGCUUUUUCUCUGUUUUCUUCUCCUACGGCGAGUUUCCACUUCGGAUACACACCAGCCCCGUCUGUCCACUCGCGGUACACUCCGGCUGGAGGAGGCGUGCGUUUGUGCUGCAGUUCUCUGAAGCGCGGCGGUAGUGAGCAAUGGUUCGCUCGGUCGACUUGGCCACCUGAAAUACUGGAUUAGAGAUGUUUUCAGAGCGGAGAUGUCAAACCCCGCCUCUUCAACACUGUAUUUACUGCAGUCUGCCAUGCUACUGUACACCGCUGCCACUGCUAGGGCGCGCGCGCACGCACGCUCCAAUAUUUGCAGAGCGCCAACUCUGCUGGCAAGCUCGUUAAUGUUGCUUUAUGGUGCUGGCGAGGAGGGGGGGCAGCUUACUGCUACAAUGCGGAGUGCGCUAGAAACAGCAUCACAUGCGCACUUGGACGGUUCUUUAUAAUAUUCCAAAAGUCAGUUAAAGUAUAUUUGAGUGCAUAAAAAUUUUUUCACAACGUGUGCUUUACAGAUUCCCAUAAAUCUCACAGGAUAUCCGCGUUCUUGCUUUUUUUUUUUUUUUUUGCUCUUUUCCCCCCGCAGAUCAAGUGUUGCAGCGUUUAAGGUUUGUUUACACCUGCGUGGUUACACUAAUACUGUGGUGGCAAUUCCUAACAGCGAUGAUUAUGAACAACUGGGAGUGGAGGGAAGUCAUGUAAGGCUGGUGUUACCCAAACACCAUCUGCCUGAUCCUGUUAUAUAAAGAAAGCAAAUGAAAGGAGUGUACAAUUAAGCCCCCCUCAUCCCAACCUCUCUCUCUUUUUUUUUAAGUUAGACACUAGUGUUUCAUCCCUGACGUGUUUCAUGGCUCAAGCUCACCAUAUUUUUUUUAUUUAGAAUAAUUACAUUAAUUUAAACAAGCAGCUUGGAUUUCGUUGACAUUUACUCAGUUAAUACCCUCUAAACCAAGGCCAGGCAUCUUGUUAUCCUUUUUCUACAUGACAACUACAUCACACUGUAUAUGGUUGAGAUAAAUUUAUCCAACCUGACUGAUUAUGCAUGUGAGCAUGCUGGUUUUUGGUAAUGGAUUUGUCUGAUGCAUCAAUACAAAUAUCAAUAGUGUCGAUACCAACGCUAGUAUUGGUAUUGGAUCAUGACGCACUGCUCUCCCAUACAUAAACUGCCUUUAAAGGUCACUGGUGGCAGUAUUGGCCC
ensembl:lncRNA